UGCCCCGGCGUGCGGCGGGACCGCCCCUCGCAGCGAGAGGCGCGGCCUGGAACCGGAGAUCCGCGGUGCCGGCGCAGCUUGCGCUCGGUAUCUUAACGAGAAACGUCUGCCCAGCGCUCGCCCCCAUGGCGGGCUGCAGGCAGCGGGAGUGGCGUCCCUCAAAAUAACCGGCUGUAGCAUAGGGCGGCAAAGCGACAAUUAACAGUAAUUUAGCAGCGGUCUAGGAGAGAAGAGUCAGUCUUGAUCUGAAUGUGCGCUGCUUUACGGAGCCCCGGACACUCUGACCGCUGGCACUGAGGGCUCUCCUCUGGCUGUACAGUCUCGUGUUGGGAAUGGCCUCAAGGGUGAUGAAUUACAUAAAUAAUAGAAAUUUUGAGUCUCCCUGAAGUUACCGAAUAGAGCUUAAAAACUGACUGGCAGAGAAAGAUGUAAAGGUCUGCAGAGGCCAAAGGUUGGAUGUGGUGCAGAUGUCCUGAGAUCCAAGAGAAACUUUCGGAUGAGGCUGCUGUCAGUUUUUAUUCACAUUUCAUUUGAAUAUCAGCUAUCAUUAGGAGAUUAAAUGCAUAAGUGGUCACA